ACCUGUCAAUUAUCAAGAGUUUUCUUUGCUUCAGAGGAGCUCUUUUGAGGAGAGAGAUCAAGUCACGUGGAAAUUUUCUUCCCUCUCUAUAACUGUAAGCUGCCAGUAACCCUUCAGAGCUCUGGGUCUCAGUGAAUCAUCAAUUGAGAGAGAAAGAGGUGCCAGCU
rnacentral:lncRNA from 1 species